rnacentral:rRNA from 1 species
UACGUAGGGGGCAAGCGUUGUCCGGAUUCAUUGGGCGUAAAGAGCGUGUAGGCGGCCAGGUAGGUCGGUUGUGAAAACUGGAGGCUCAACCUUCAGAGGUCGACCGAAACCAUCUGGCUAGAGUCCGGGAGAGGAGAGUGGAACUCCUGGUGUAGCGGUGGAAUGCGCAGAUAUCAGGAAGAACACCAACGGCGAAGGCAGCUCGCUAGGACGGUACUGACGCUGAGACGCGAAAGCGUGGGGAGCGAACAGG